AUUGAACGCUGGCGGCAGGCCUAACACAUGCAAGUCGAACGGUAACAGGAAGAAGCUUGCUUCUUUGCUGACGAGUGGCGGACGGGUGAGUAAUGUCUGGGAAACUGCCUGAUGGAGGGGGAUAACUACUGGAAACGGUAGCUAAUACCGCAUAACGUCGCAAGACCAAAGAGGGGGACCUUCGGGCCUCUUGCCAUCGGAUGUGCCCAGAUGGGAUUAGCUAGUAGGUGGGGUAACGGCUCACCUAGGCGACGAUCCCUAGCUGGUCUGAGAGGAUGACCAGCCACACUGGAACUGAGACACGGUCCAGACUCCUACGGGAGGCAGCAGUGGGGAAUAUUGCACAAUGGGCGCAAGCCUGAUGCAGCCAUGCCGCGUGUAUGAAUGAAGGCCUUCGGGUUGUAAAGUACUUUCAGCGGGGGGGAAGGGAGUAAAGUUAU
rnacentral:rRNA from 1 species